UGGAGGGGUAGUCUAAUUGGUAAGGCACCGGACUUGAAAUCCGGCGGCCCGGAAGGGCCUUGUGGGUUCGAGUCCCACCCCCUCCGCCAA
rnacentral:tRNA from 1 species